GGCGUGCCUAACACAUGCAAGUCGGACGAGAAAACGUGCCUUCGGGUGCGUGAGUAAAGUGGCGCACGGGUGAGUAACGCGUGAGUAACCUGCCCUGCUUGUUCAGGAUAACGUCGGGAAACUGGCGCUAAUACUGAAUGAAGUCCGAGGCCGCAAGGCGUGCUCGGACCAAAGGAGGCCUCUGGGACGAAAUGUUCUGGCGCUCCAGGAUGGGCCCGCGUCCCAUUAGCUUGUUGGUAGGGUAACGGCCUACCAAGGCGACGAUGGGUAGCCGGCCUGAGAGGGUGAACGGCCACACUGGGACUGAGAUACGGCCCAGACUCCUACGGGAGGCAGCAGUGGGGAAUAUUGCGCAAUGGGCGAAAGCCUGACGCAGCAACGCCGCGUGGAGGAUGAAGGUUUUCGGAUUGUAAACUCCUUUCAGUAGGGACGAAGCCUCGGGCGGGUGAACGAAUCUCUCUGUCUGACUGUACCACCAGAGGAAGCCCCGGCUAACUCCGUGCCAGCAGCCGCGGUAAUACGGAGGGUGCAAGCGUUGUUCGGAUUCACUGGGUAUAAAGGGUGCGCAGGCGGUCCGUUAAGUCUGAUGUGAAAGCCCUGGGCUCAACUCAGGAACUGCAUUGGAAACUGGCGGGCUUUAGAGUACCGGAGAGGGAAGCGGAAUUCCCAGUGUAGCGGUGAAAUGCGUAGAUACUGGGAGGAACACCGGUGGCGAAGGCGGCUUCCUGGCCGAGUACUGACGCUCAUACACGAAAGCGUGGGGAGCGAACGGGAUUAGAUACCCCGGUAGUCCACGCUGUAAACGAUGGGUACUAGGUGUUGGAGGUAUCGACCCCUUCAGUGCCGCAGUUAACGCACUAAGUACCCCGCCUGGGGAGUACGUUCGCAAGAAUGAAACUCAAAGGAAUUGACGGGGGCCCGCACAAGCGGUGGAGCAUGUGGUUUAAUUCGACGCAACGCGAAGAACCUUACCUGGGUUUGAACUGCAGGGGACAGCCUUAGAAAUAAGGUCUUCCUUCGGGAUCGCGAUACAGGUGCUGCAUGGCUGUCGUCAGCUCGUGUCGUGAGAUGUUGGGUUAAGUCCCGCAACGAGCGCAACCCCUACCUUUAGUUGCCAGCGGGUAAUGCCGGGAACUCUAAAGGAACUGUCGGUGACAAACCGGAGGAAGGUGAGGAUGACGUCAAGUCCUCAUGGCCUUUAUGUCCAGGGCUACACACGUGCUACAAUGGUCGGUACAAAGGGCAGCGAAGUCGCGAGGCGGAGCUAAUCCCAAAAAGCCGAUCUCAGUUCGGAUUGGAGUCUGCAACUCGACUCCAUGAAGGUGGAAUCGCUAGUAAUCGCGGAUCAGCACGCCGCGGUGAAUACGUUCCCGGGCCUUGUACACACCGCCCGUCACACCACGAAAGUUGAUUGUACUAGAAACCGCUGAGCUAACCCGUCAAGGGAGGCAGGCGUCUAAGGUAUGAUCAGCGAUU
rnacentral:rRNA from 1 species